rnacentral:rRNA from 1 species
AGAGAGUGCAAGCGUUAAUCGGAAUUACUGGGCGUAAAGCGCGCGUAGGUGGAUACUUUAGUCGAAUGUGAAAGCCCCAGGCUUAACCUGGGAAUUGCAUUCGAUACUGGGUGUCUAGAGUAUGGUAGAGGGAAGUGGAAUUUCCGGUGUAGCGGUGAAAUGCGUAGAUAUCGGAAGGAACACCAGUGGCGAAGGCGACUUCCUGGACCAAUACUGACACUGAGGUGCGAAAGCGUGGGGAGCAAACAGGGAUUAGAGACCCUGGUAGUCCGCGCUGUCAACGAUGAGAACUAGACGUUGGGGCGGUAACCUCUUAGUGUCGUAGCUAACGCGUUAAGUUCUCCGCCUGGGGAGUACGGCCGCAAGGCUA